UACAGAGGUCUCAAGCGUUGUUCGGAUUCAUUGGGCGUAAAGGGUGCGUAGGCGGCGCGGUAAGUCGGGUGUGAAAUCUCGGAGCUUAACUCCGAAACUGCAUUCGAUACUGCCGGACUAGAGUUCGGAAGAGGCGAGUGGAAUUCCCGGUGUAGCGGUGAAAUGCGCAGAUAUCAGGAGGAACACCGAUGGCGAAGGCAGGUCUCUGGGCCAUAACUGACGCUGGAGAAGCGAAAGCGUGGGGAGCGAACAGG
rnacentral:rRNA from 1 species